rnacentral:rRNA from 1 species
UAGGGAAUCUUCCACAAUGGACGAAAGUCUGAUGGAGCAACGCCGCGUGAGUGAAGAAGGUUUUCGGAUCGUAAAGCUCUGUUGUUGGUGAAGAAGGAUAGAGGCAGUAACUGGUCUUUAUUUGACGGUAAUCAACCAGAAAGCCACGGCUAACUACGUGCCAC